GUGUUUAGUUGUUUAUAUAACUAAAAGGUCAUUAAGUAAUUAUGGAGGGUAGUUUUUGAAAAUUCAAUUAGUAUAAAUAAGAGCCUUGGGCUCUCAUAUUUCUUGCACCAUUCUCUUGAUUCAAGAGUCUUUCUCUCCUUAUCCCCCGAGCAUUUCGGUCCCUCGUGAUUCGACUUCUCUUUCUGUAGCUUAGUAUAGUAAGGUGAGCGCUGAAGCGCUGCACGAAUCUUUCUUAGAAAGAUUCAGCGACGAAGUUCUGCCCCUGCAGAGCCCGACUCCUAGCUAAAACCCCCUUGUAAGUUUCGUCGAAGGAAAAUAGAAUCGUUAAAAGCAAGCGCUGCCCGAUUUUGGAAUCAUCACCUUAACAAGUAGUGGCGCAUGAGCAUAGGUGUGAUGUUUUGGACGAGGGAUUACGGAUAUAGGCCUGUAGAUAUGAAAUAAUGUAGUAAGGCUUAUAUUGUACUGUUUAUGCUUUUGAUCUGUACGAACAUGACAUCCCGAGUCUUUUAAUGAAAUACAUUUCUAUGGAAAUGCUUUUGAUAAAUCUUUAUCAUAUUUUUGUUUUGGGACAAAUUCCGCAACACUUUCAUUUAAAAUGUAACUCUGAUUUUUAAACAAAGCAUAAACAAACCGGUCUUUUCUGGCCGUGAUUUUGGGGAUGUCACAGAUAAAUUAGGUCUGUAGAAUAUCAUUUUCUUUCUUUCCGUCUGUUAGCCAUAUGUUGUCUCCUUUGCGUGACUUCCAAUCCGACCCGGUAUACAACAUAUGCAACUACUCUGCAUGCUAUAUAUGUGAAAUACUUCUUAUCUGUUAGCCAUAUGUUGUCUCCUUUGCGUGACUUCUAAUCCGACCUGGUACACAGCAUAUGCAACCUUCUUCUUCUCAACCCCUCUGAAGUAAUAAGUUAUAGAAUUCUGAAUCUAUCCUCUCUCUGAAUGGUUGUCUGCUCACCCGGUGUAAGGAGUACUCUGGAAGUUCUUGAUGGCUGGGGCAUAUCAGGAAGCGGGAAACAUGUUCUAGUACACUUAAAAAUUGAACACAUACAGAUUGUCUGUAGAUCUCGCUGCUCGAUUUAGGUGGACAAUAAUAUCCCUGGUUGUAGUUAGUUAAAUGGUCUUAAGAAAAAGAUAUUUAAGAAUUAGGGCCAAUCAUGAUAAUAAAGUUACUAUUAGAUAUAUGUAUAUGUCAUGUCAUUGGUAAACUGUCCAAAUCUGUCACAAAUUUUUCGUGUUUAAGUGGACAACAAUACCGGCGAUCGACCAGACAAAGACGUGAAGAUAGAAGGUACCGACAACUGGAUAAAGGUUGUCUAAAAACUUUGAUCCCAAAUCAUUCUUAAAGUUAGAUAUCAUUUUAUUUUUGUUAAGUUUGUUCAUAGUGUUCUUCUAAUUUAAAUAUUAGGGGAGAAUUAAAAAUUUUAAAAACCAAACAAAAAUCAGAAAAUUAAAAAAAAAGGGUUUUAUUUCUUGUUCAGAAAAAUCAAAAAAAAAUCCAAAAAUAUUUUUGUUUCUGUUUUAAUUUGUGUGCUAAGUUUUCUUUUAGUUUUGUUUUGUCUUGAAAAGUGAUUUCAGGGGUAGAUGAGACUCAUGGAGUUUGUGUUGAAGAUUUAUGAGCCAAGGCUUCGUCCGUGAGCAUCGAAGAAUUCUCAUUCAAAGGAGCAAGAAAUGAAGAUCAUUCUUUCAACAUUCAAUCCUUCAACCCCAGAAGCAAGGUGAAGCUGAAAGUGAAGAAUAUGUGACGGAUUGCAUUGAAGCCUCCUCAAUCAGUCUGCUGCUAUCUAUGAACCUACUGAAGUGAUCCAAAAGAUUUGUUCUCUCUGAUGUUCUCUCUGAAGAUUCUCAAGCUGAAAGCGCCAAUUUUCAAGAAUCAGUACAAGAAGCCUCCUUACCCGACGUGCAUUCAAAGCCAAAUUUUGAAGAAAAACCCAACCGCUCAAGAUGAAGUCAUUCAUUGAAGAUAAAUGCUGAAGCCAAGCUCUCGAUGAAGAUUAACAAGAAAAGCCAGAUACUUUUUAGGGGGAGCUUGUUGGGUCAUUUAAGAAGAGAAAAGAAAGCUAUAAACCAAGGGGGAGAUUGUUGGUUCAAUAUUAUGGUUUAUGCUUUGCUUUUCUAGGAAAUUGUAUUUUUAUGUAAUAUCUUAUGUUUUUACGGUCAAGUUUACGGCCAGGGAGGUGUUUACGGCCGUAAACCCUGUUUACGACCCAUGUCCACCGACCCAUAUUCUUGUGUAUAUAUAUAGGGGUGAGGGGUGUGAGGAAAAGAUUGAUGAACACGAAGAGAGCUUACGACCGAAGAGAAGAGAGAAACUAGAGAGCAUUGUGUGUGUGAAUCUCUUGUA